GCAGUAGCCGCGGGAAUACAGAGGGUGCGAGCGUUAAUCGGAUUUACUGGGCGUAAAGCGUGCGUAGGCGGCUUCUUAAGUCGGAUGUGAAAUCCCUGAGCUUAACUUAGGAAUUGCAUUCGAUACUGGGAAGCUAGAGUAUGGGAGAGGAUGGUAGAUUUCCAGGUGUAGCGGUGAAAUGCGUAGAGAUCUGGAGGAAUACCGAUGGCGAAGGCAGCCAUCUGGCCUAAUACUGACGCUGAGGUACGAAAGCAUGGGGAGCAAACAGGAUUAGAUACCCCUGUAGUCCCUGUCUCUUAUAC
rnacentral:rRNA from 1 species